GAGAGAGAGAGAGAGAGAUACUUUAAGAUAUUCUCUUUUAUAUACAUGUUUGUCAGGAGAAGGGUGGACUCUAAAACAUAGAAACAUUUUUUCUUUCUUUUUUUUUUAUUUUCUCAAGACAGAGUAUCUCUGUCUAACAGCCCUGUCUGUCCUGGAACUUGCUCUAUAGUCCAGUCCUGGAACUCAGAGAUUUGCCUGCCUCUACUUCUAAGUGCUAUAAUUAGUUUGCUCUAUCACUGACCCAAAACAUUGAAAUUUGGAGCUGUUGCAAAAUCAGAAUGGGUAUCUUGCAAGGCCAUGAGCUCUCCAUCGCAGAGAAUGUCCAAGUUGUAGAUACCUGGGAACAACCUGAAGUGAACGGCAACACCUACACAUCUGCUGUCCCUGUGAUCUAAGAAGGCACUGUUCAGUGGUGAAAAGUUCAUUGCUAUGGAAAGAAUAUGAUCACUCAGCUCUAUUGUCCUUUACCUCUCAGCAGGGAACCUUGGUGAACCAAACAUAAAUAAAAAAGAAUGCUUUUCAAGUAA